rnacentral:misc_RNA from 1 species
AGUUUUGGGCUAUGGAUUUGAGGGAAGAGAAGGCAUUUGAUAUCCAAAGUUUAGGGUCUUUUGGGUUGUACCAGCGAAGGACUUUGUUCGCUAAACUCCAGCCAGAAAGACUAGCUAAGGCUUUUGCAUUUGGAUGAUUAUUCUUCAUGGCUAAAACAGAUUCUGGAGUUAAUGUAUUAGCCCAAUAUGGUGAAAAUAUACCAUUUUGAGCAUUGCCUGAUGGGUCUGCAUCAAUUGCAAAACCAAGUAUGAAAUGAAAGUCGAUUUUGUCUUCAACUGGAACAAAAUCG